CGGAGGGCUUAUACCACCCAGAUGAGGGGAGUUAACAGCCAGGGGAUAAACUUGGACCAGAAAAGGAGAGGAGACUAGGAGGGGCUGGCCGUUGCUAGCCCUGCUUCUUUCUCCCCAACUGACUCUGCCAAUCCCUGAGCCGUCCCAAGGGAGGGAGUGAGCCGCUCAGUGUAUUUUCUUGUGAGGCCGCUGCCAGUUUGAUAACGCAUGACCUUGUGUUUGCUUCCCCUCCUUCCUGGCCUCACCUCUCUUCCUCACUUUGCUGCUCAGGGCUGACAACCUCUGCACUGAAACAUUAACCCUUCGGCUCUGCCCAAGCUUUGUUUUCCAGGAAGCCAAGCCACACUCAGCAUGUACUUGAGGGUAAAGGGUUUAUAAACCCUCAAAGGGCUCUUUGGGCUGUUUUCAUCACCCUGCAUUCCUAUCCUGCCCCAUUAAAUAGAAACUUCUGCUGGUUUCUCUGGGAGGGAAUGGUAUUGGAAAAAUAACUUGAAUUCUCAAGACCUCCCGCACCCCAUGGGGUAAGCAGCCAAUCCUGGCAGGAAGGAUGGGGGGUUGUUUGCCCUGUGGUGAUCCAGCUGCUUGGCUGAAGACGUGUGGAUGUAAAUAUGCGACAUUGAAACAGAGUAAUCGCUUAAGAAUUGGAUUUUGCCUCUGUGGAUGCCCUAGAAGAGAAUGGAAGACGUUUCCCCCUUUCAGGAUGGAUGUCAGCUUCAUGACCCAGCCUGGCCUGUUCAAUGCUGGAUCCCUGGUGCAUAGAAACAUAUCUGGCUUAGAACAGCCGCUCAAGCUACACUUCUGGUUUACAUGAAUCAGACAAGGCCAUCUCUCCUGACUCUAUCACUCCUGCUAAUCACCCUCAUGUUUUAUAUUUAAAAAGUAGAGUCUGAUACGCAGGAAAUGCCAAUCCUAGGCAAUCAGGAAGUUCUUCAUGUUGGAGACCUGGUAUCUGCACAAUUUCAACAGAAAACCUUACUUUUUAGAGAGGUGGAAAUCAUAUGUGGGUCCAGUCAGAGCCUCAGGGGUUUCCAGUUUCAGUCAAACAAGGAAGUGAGGAUCAAAGAGAACCUGAUGGAUGCAGGCACUGACUCUGGCGUGAAUCAGAAUCACCUGGAACCUUGUUUCAAUAAUUCAGACGCCUGGCUCCACCGCUGAGACUCUGAUUUAAUGGGUUAACCAUGGGGCCCAGGCCUCUGAAUUGUUAACAAGCCACCCAGGUGAUUUUAACAAGCCACCUGUGUUUUGAGAAUGACCUGCCUAGGGCCUGCGGGAGGAGUCUGAAUUGAGGAAGACGGCUGGAUUCAGCUGCCCUGGGGCCGGGAGGGACAGAGGCCUGGGAGAUGGUGCCAGUCUCUGUUUGGGUACAGUUGCACCAGAUCAAGCAUGAAGAGCAAGCAGUCGGGCUUCACUGGUGGCUCAGUGGUAAAGAAUCCACCUCCCACUGCAGGAGACAUGGGUUCCAUCCCUGAUCUGGAAAGAUCCCACAGGCCUCGGAGCAACUAAGCCCUGGUGCCACAACUACUGAAUCAGUGCUCUAGAGCCCAGGAGCUGCAACUACGGAGCCCAUGUGCUGUGACUUCUGAAACCCUCGUCCCCUAGAGCCCAUGCUCUGCCAACAAAAGAAUCCACCGCAAUGAGAAGCCCCUGAACUGCAACCAAGAGUAGCCCCUGCUCUCCUGCAACUAGAGUAAAGCAUUUGCAGCAAUGAAGACCCAGCACAGACAAAAAUAAAUAAAAUUAUUAAAAGAAAAAAGAGCAAACCAUCACCACAGUUUAGGACCCGCACCCUCCAAGAGGCAGCCGAGCAUUUGACCUUUCACCCUGCGCUGUGACCUCUGUGGUCAUUUCUGGGAGAAAAUAUGGACGUGGCCUGAGUUGCUGUGAGUUCUGCUGUGGCUGGGGAGGAUGUUCAGAACAGGAGAUAGUCUGGCCUACUGCAAGUAUCUAAAAAUAGAGCCAAGCCAGCGAGAAGCCACCUGGGUAGGGACCCAGAGGCCCUUGCAGGUGAUGGAGAGGCCUCUGAGGCAUUGCAGAGACAACAGAGAGGCCUCGGAGGCGAGGAGUCCUCUGUAAGUCACAGCUUCCUUUCCACACUGCCUCUGGUAGCACCCACCGCGUCAGGCACCUACAUGACUUGACCCCAAGAAAAAGCCACUCUUCUCCAGAGCAGCCAGUCAGGCUGGCAGGGUUCGGUCUCACUGCCAUGAGUUGGGCCCCAGUGGUCCUUGGGAGCGUACCCUGGCACACCAGGAGGGCUUUGUUUUCAGUCCUAAUAGGACGGGUCCCAUGGAAUAGCUGAAGCAAGUGCUUAAAACAGAGGGCCCUGUUUCCUGCUCCCACCCUGCCCCUGGCUCACCCUGCUUUCAGCCCCACCUGCUGUCGGCCUGCCAGGAAGCAGACAACUGACUGCACCUGGGCAGAAGGGGAGACAUUAUUGCAGUGAAAGUACCCAAGACGAAAGGAGCUUAAAUAGAUGUGUAUGUCAGAAAACAGAGCUCUUGGAGGCAUGGCUGUGUGUGUGUGUGUGUGUGUAUGCACGCGUACAUGCACUUUAUCCUGGAAUAAAUUUUUAUUGAGCAUGUACCACGUUGAUGAGGAGGAAAUGGCAAUCCACUCCAGUAUUCUUGCCUGGAAAAUCCCAUGGACAGAGGAGCCUGAUGGGCUACAGUCCAUGGGGUUUCAAAGAAUUGGACAUGACUGAGCAUGCAUGCAUGCACUAUGUUGAUAGUUCCAUGCUAGGAACCAUUUGAGUCCCAAAAGAGCAUGCCUGGUCCCUGCUCCUGAAGAACUGACAAUAGAAAUCACUCGUUCACUUCCUGAGCCUGACUGUGUGCCAGGCACUAUUCUCAGUGUCUUACAAUGUCCUAACUCAUUUCUUUUUCACAGCUAUCUUCUGCAGUGGUUACAAGGUAGUCUCAAUUAUUAUUAUUCCUAUUCUAAAGAUGACACUGGGGCAGAGAGAGACUAUGCUAUUUGCCCUGGGUCACAACUUGCAAGGGAUUGAGCUGGCAUGUGAAUUGGCACCUGGAGCUGGGCCAUCACCCUGGCACUAAACUGUCCUCAAGGUGGUUGCCACAGCCUGGGGGCUAGGAAGAUGCUUCCUGAGGCCCCUUCCUCCUCCUGGGAGUUCAUGAAGUAAUGAGAUUGGUUUUGGUAUAAAAAUAGAGCCAUAGGCUCUCAAGUUUAAAGGGAACUCAAAUGGUGUGGCAUGAACAACCCAGCCAUUCUCUGGAACUUCGUAUCCAAAUAAGAGUCACCCUUUCACCUUUAGAAGUGAUGCUGUCAUGGCUCCAAACAUUCUUGGCUUUCCAGUUUUGGAGUUGCUUCCAGAUGCAGUUUUUGAGCACGACAAGAAGUCUCCAGAGAGUUACAUUAAAAAAAAAAACACAAAACUUUUUUUUUCCAAACACAGUGU
ensembl:lncRNA